UUUUUGUAGUGCGGUAGAACUAAA
rnacentral:piRNA from 1 species